rnacentral:rRNA from 1 species
CAGCAAUGCCGCGUGAGUGAUGAAGGCCUUAGGGUCGUAAAGCUCUUUUACCAGGGAUGAUAAUGACAGUACCUGGAGAAUAAGCUCCGGCUAACUCCGUGCCAGCAGCCGCGGUAAUACGGAGGGAGCUAGCGUUGUUCGGAAUUACUGGGCGUAAAGCGUACGUAGGCGGUUAUUCAAGUCAGAGGUGAAAGCCCGGGGCUCAACCCCGGAACUGCCUUUGAAACUAGAUAACUAGAGUCUUGGAGAGGUUAGUGGAAUUCCGAGUGUAGAGGUGAAAUUCGUAGAUAUUCGGAAGAACACCAGUGGCGAAGGCGACUAACUGGACAAGUACUGACGCUGAGGUACGAAAGCGUGGGGAGCAAACAGGAUUAGAUACCCUGGUAGUCCACGCCGUAAACGAUGAUAACUAGCUGUCCGGGUACUUGGUAUCUGGGUGGCGCAGCUAACGCAUUAAGU